ACUCCUACGGGAGGCAGCAGUGGGGAAUAUUGGACAAUGGGCGCAAGCCUGAUCCAGCCAUGCCGCGUGUGUGAAGAAGGCCUUAUGGUUGUAAAGCACUUUAAGCGAGGAGGAGGCUACUUUAGUUAAUACCUAGA
rnacentral:rRNA from 1 species